UACGAAGGUGGCAAGCGUUACUCGGAAUUACUAGGCGUAAAGGGCAGGUAGGUGGUUUGGUAAGUCUGUUGUGUAAGCUCCUGGCUUAACCGGGAGAGGUCAACAGAAACUACCAGGCUUGAGUGUAGGAGAGGGUACUGGAAUUCCCGGUGUAGCGGUGAAAUGCGCAGAGAUCGGGAGGAACACCAAUGGCGAAGGCAGCCCCCUGGGCUAACACUGACGCUCAUGCACGAAAGCGUGGGGAGCAAACAGG
rnacentral:rRNA from 1 species